AUUGAACGCUGGCGGCAUGCCUUACACAUGCAAGUCGAACGGCAGCACGGGAGCAAUCCUGGUGGCGAGUGGCGAACGGGUGAGUAAUAUAUCGGAACGUGCCCAGUCGUGGGGGAUAACGUAGCGAAAGCUACGCUAAUACCGCAUACGAUCUAUGGAUGAAAGCGGGGGAUCGCAAGACCUCGCGCGAUUGGAGCGGCCGAUAUCAGAUUAGGUAGUUGGUGAGGUAAAGGCUCACCAAGCCGACGAUCUGUAGCUGGUCUGAGAGGACGACCAGCCACACUGGGACUGAGACACGGCCCAGACUCCUACGGGAGGCAGCAGUGGGGAAUUUUGGACAAUGGGCGCAAGCCUGAUCCAGCAAUGCCGCGUGCAGGAUGAAGGCCUUCGGUUGUAACGUAGCUUUUGUA
rnacentral:rRNA from 1 species